CAUCUGGAAAGAUGAAUCAAAGAAGGUAAUAAUCCUGUAGUCGAAAAUGUUGUCUCUCUUGAGUGGAUCCUGAGUACGACGGAGCACGUGAAAUUCCGUCGGAAUCUGGGAGGACCAUCUCCUAAGGCUAAAUACUCUCUAGUGACCGAUAGUGAACCAGUACCGUGAGGGAAAGGUGAAAAGCACCCCGGAAGGGGAGUGAAAUAGAACCUGAAACCGUGUGCUUACAAGUAGUCAGAGCCCGUUAAUGGGUGAUGGCGUGCCUUUUGUAGAAUGAACCGGCGAGUUACGAUUUGAUGCAAGGUUAAGCAGUAAAUGUGGAGCCGUAGCGAAAGCGAGUCUGAAUAGGGCGUUUAGUAUUUGGUCGUAGACCCGAAACCAGGUGAUCUACCCUUGGUCAGGUUGAAGUUCAGGUAACACUGAAUGGAGGACCGAACCGACUUACGUUGAAAAGUGAGCGGAUGAACUGAGGGUAGCGGAGAAAUUCCAAUCGAACCUGGAGAUAGCUGGUUCUCUCCGAAAUAGCUUUAGGGCUAGCCUCAAGUGAUGAUUAUUGGAGGUAGAGCACUGUUUGGACGAGGGGCCCCUCUCGGGUUACCGAAUUCAGACAAACUCCGAAUGCCAAUUAAUUUAACUUGGGAGUCAGAACAUGGGUGAUAAGGUCCGUGUUCGAAAGGGAAACAGCCCAGACCACCAGCUAAGGUCCCAAAAUAUAUGUUAAGUGGAAAAGGAUGUGGCGUUGCCCAGACAACUAGGAUGUUGGCUUAGAAGCAGCCAUCAUUUAAAGAGUGCGUAAUAGCUCACUAGUCGAGUGACACUGCGCCGAAAAUGUACCGGGGCUAAACAUAUUACCGAAGCUGUGGAUUGUCCUUUGGACAAUGGUAGGAGAGCGUUCUAAGGGCGUUGAAGCAUGAUCGUAAGGACAUGUGGAGCGCUUAGAAGUGAGAAUGCCGGUGUGAGUAGCGAAAGACGGGUGAGAAUCCCGUCCACCGAUUGACUAAGGUUUCCAGAGGAAGGCUCGUCCGCUCUGGGUUAGUCGGGUCCUAAGCUGAGGCCGACAGGCGUAGGCGAUGGAUAACAGGUUGAUAUUCCUGUACCACCUAUAAUCGUUUUAAUCGAUGGGGGGACGCAGUAGGAUAGGCGAAGCGUGCGAUUGGAUUGCACGUCUAAGCAGUAAGGCUGAGUAUUAGGCAAAUCCGGUACUCGUUAAGGCUGAGCUGUGAUGGGGAGAAGACAUUGUGUCUUCGAGUCGUUGAUUUCACACUGCCGAGAAAAGCCUCUAGAUAGAAAAUAGGUGCCCGUACCGCAAACCGACACAGGUAGUCAAGAUGAGAAUUCUAAGGUGAGCGAGCGAACUCUCGUUAAGGAACUCGGCAAAAUGACCCCGUAACUUCGGGAGAAGGGGUGCUCUUUAGGGUUAACGCCCAGAAGAGCCGCAGUGAAUAGGCCCAAGCGACUGUUUAUCAAAAACACAGGUCUCUGCUAAACCGUAAGGUGAUGUAUAGGGGCUGACGCCUGCCCGGUGCUGGAAGGUUAAGAGGAGUGGUUAGCUUCUGCGAAGCUACGAAUCGAAGCCCCAGUAAACGGCGGCCGUAACUAUAACGGUCCUAAGGUAGCGAAAUUCCUUGUCGGGUAAGUUCCGACCCGCACGAAAGGCGUAACGAUUUGGGCACUGUCUCAACGAGAGACUCGGUGAAAUCAUAGUACCUGUGAAGAUGCAGGUUACCCGCGACAGGACGGAAAGACCCCGUGGAGCUUUACUGUAGCCUGAUAUUGAAAUUCGGCACAGCUUGUACAGGAUAGGUAGGAGCCUUUGAAACGUGAGCGCUAGCUUACGUGGAGGCGCUGGUGGGAUACUACCCUAGCUGUGUUGGCUUUCUAACCCGCACCACUUAUCGUGGUGGGAGACAGUGUCAGGCGGGCAGUUUGACUGGGGCGGUCGCCUCCUAAAAGGUAACGGAGGCGCUCAAAGGUUCCCUCAGAAUGGUUGGAAAUCAUUCAUAGAGUGUAAAGGCAUAAGGGAGCUUGACUGCGAGACCUACAAGUCGAGCAGGGUCGAAAGACGGACUUAGUGAUCCGGUGGUUCCGCAUGGAAGGGCCAUCGCUCAACGGAUAAAAGCUACCCCGGGGAUAACAGGCUUAUCUCCCCCAAGAGUUCACAUCGACGGGGAGGUUUGGCACCUCGAUGUCGGCUCAUCGCAUCCUGGGGCUGUAGUCGGUCCCAAGGGUUGGGCUGUUCGCCCAUUAAAGCGGUACGCGAGCUGGGUUCAGAACGUCGUGAGACAGUUCGGUCCCUAUCCGUCGUGGGCGUAGGAAAUUUGAGAGGAGCUGUCCUUAGUACGAGAGGACCGGGAUGGACAUACCUCUGGUGUACCAGUUGUCGU
rnacentral:rRNA from 1 species